UGCCGCUCUGGUUCCUGAUACCAACAGGUGGAAUGGGCAGAGAGGAUGUCUCUGACAAGGACUGAGAACUAGAUGAAAAGGGAGAACAACCCUGUGGUACCUAGGGGGACAGAAAAACACACUCUGCAGGAUGAAGAGGGAGCUGAGAACCUUCUACAACUAUAGAAAAGAAGGAUACAGACCAAACAGGAAGAGACUUCACAGGUAGCCUAGCAUGUCAUCUUGGGAGCUUGGAAGGCCACCAUACUGAGUCUUCAAAGUUUAUGAGAGGGUUGUGACUCCCCCACAUCCUGGGUGUGUGCAGAAUGGGUUACAGCGGGGGCAGAAAGAGAGACGUGGAAAACACACUAGCAGAUGAAAUGGUGAUUGAUUGAUUGAUCAGAAGCCCAGAAGGAGGUGACCUGAGCAAGCUAGCACCUCACCAGCCCGGAUGGAAAGAUGGAAACAGUGGUAUUUAAUAGACGGGAGACCUGAGGCGAAUUUGAGAAGCAAGCCAACAAGAUUUACUGACAGGAAGAUCAUCAAAGCUGCGGUCCCCACCAGCAGCUCCUGACAUUCCUGAGGAAACCUCCUUCCUUCCCUUUGGCCUCUUGUGGCUACACACAGUCACUCACUGACCCUGGCACACACUGUAGGUCCUCAGUAGGAAACCAAGCUAAUCUCUCUCUCUAAGGGUUUUUUUUUUUUUUUUUUUUUUUUUUUUUUUUGCCAUUUUGAAUCUUCCAGGAGAGCCUAUCUUGCUUAUUCUUGUAGCUAAUCCCAGCCCCUUGCACCGUGCCUUCCCCAUAAAGAGAUGUGAAUGAACCACUGCUCCACCGGUGAGCAAGUGGGGGAGAACGGGAAACAGCUCCAAGUUGCACUUACAGAAGACUAAGUACUGACAGGAAGCGCUGGUUGGAGAGUAACUGACCACCCUGGGAGAGCAGCCACUGAGAGGAACAAAGACACCUUUCACCCUGCAGGAUUUCAGUCAUUCAUGACUCAGCACCGGGAGGGAAGCCAGACACAGUGCAGCAGGAUCCUAGCCCUGAAUGGGGAUAGAUCGGUAGCCCAGCCCCACUAACAAGAAAGGAUACAAAAAGGAUACAAAGGCAUACAGGUGAAAGGGACUCCAUACACCAUCCCAGCACCGUGCCCCAGCCCAUUUGAAAACCCGUUAUGGGGCAGAUCAUGGCUGCUUCCACACUCAACAGCAGCGACUAGUUACCUGGGAAGCCUUGCUUGGCUGCAACUUCAAAGAAAACGCCACGCAAACAAGAGUGAUUUUACAUUGCUUUCCUAUCAUACAUUGUUCCAAGCCCAUCCUAAGGGGGUGCUCGGAAUCCAGUAACGAUCACACGAUUGCCAACUAACCUCUCCUCAGCAGCCUCACACUGAUGGUGGGGGUACAAGCUAGCCACACACCGAAGUGCGUAGCACUGAUACAUGCAGGUUCCUAGCAUCAACCAAGGCUUUGAAGGGGAAACAAUUUGAUCUCUUGAGAUGGAAGAUUGAAGUUCUUGCUUUGGAAACUGUUGCUGAAGGGGGUAGAGAGUUCACCCUUCCCUGUGAACCUCGAGACAUUUAAGAACCAAUAAUGAGCAGGUGGCUGCUCAGAUCAGCUCAUCCCUAUCGUAUAGAACAGGACGUCUGUGACCUGCAAGGGGCUUUCCAGGAGGGGUCAUCUUGAAGGUAUUUACGGCGUGCCUAUACUGUUGAGUGACAGUCACAUUCUUCUUAAGGAUUAAGCCUCAUCAACCAUUUCAAAGCCAUCUUGGGUUUACUCUGGCACCGAGAGACGGAGACAGAAAUCAACAUCAUCUCGUUACGUGAUCAUCUUUGGCAAGAGACGACAUGAUUUCGCCUUCACAGGAAGGAAUGUUGCCUGUGUGGAGCAAAUCAGGCCCAGUGAACCUGUUCACCUACCAACCCCUCCGCCACUCGAUGAUGGAGAGAAAGCCUCUCUCCUGGUGGCCUAGCGGGAGGCUUGUGAUUGGUCCCAAACAUGAAGGCGAGAGAGGCCAGGAUGAGAAGUAGACAGAGGAACAGAAAGCUGUGGAGAGCCAGACAUGUAUGCUCAUGUCUUCAAAAGAGGGUCCUUGGAUUGAGAUUUCCAGACAUAAUGUAAACUAGAUGUGUGAGGAGUGGACUGACCCUUCCUGCGGGCGCUGUAUUCCCAGUAGAGGGGGAGAAGGCACUGCAGAGGCCUCCGAAGUCCAGAGAAGGAAUGAAGCUGGGAGAUUAACCAUUUGCCAAGCUGUGUUUUUUUCUAAUC
rnacentral:lncRNA from 1 species